ACGCAAAACAAGUUUAGGUGUAUCCGAUUCUUUCAUAGUACUAUACUGUAUCUGCCCUCCGAUGACUGACUGAAUGAGUGAGUGAGUUUAGUUUUACGCCAC